UACAGAGGGUGCUAGCGUUGUUCGGAAUCAUUGGGCGUAAAGGGCGUGUAGGCGGUUUGUUAAGUCAUGUGUGAAAUCCCUCGGCUCAACCGGGGAACGACGCAUGAAACUGGCAAGCUAGAGUACCAAAGAGGGGGGUGGAAUUCCCGGUGUAGCGGUGAAAUGCGUAGAGAUCGGGAAGAACAUCGGUGGCGAAAGCGCUCUACUGGACCGCAACUGACACUCAGGGACGAAAGCUAGGGGAGCGAAUGGG
rnacentral:rRNA from 1 species